GGAAUCUUGCACAAUGGGCGAAAGCCUGAUGCAGCAACGCCGCGUGCGGGAUGAAGGCCCUAGGGUUGUAAACCGCUUUCAGCAGGGAAGAAAAUGACGGUACCUGUAGAAGACGGUGCGGCCAACUACGUGCCAGCAGCCGCGGUGAUACGUAGGCACCAAACGUUGUCCGGAUUUAUUGGGCGUAAAGAGCUCGUAGGCGGUUCGGUAAGUCGGGUGUGAAAACUCUGGGCUCAACCCAGAGAGGCCACCCGAUACUGCCAUGACUAGAGUGCGGUAGGGGAGUGGGGAAUUCCUGGUGUAGCGGUGAAAUGCGCAGAUAUCAGGAGGAACACCAGUGGCGAAGGCGCCACUCUGGGCCGUAACUGACGCUGAGGAGCGAAAGCGUGGGUAGCAAAC
rnacentral:rRNA from 1 species